CCUACGGGAGACAGCAGUGGGGAAUAUUGGUCAAUGGGCGCAAGCCUGACCCAGCAACGCCGCGUGAAGGAAGAAGGCCCUCGGGUUGUAAACCUCUUUUAUUCGAGACGAAACAAAUGACGGUCACGAAUGAAUAAGCCACGGCUAACUACGUGCCAGCAGACGCUGUAAUACGUAGGUGGCAAGCGUUAUGCGGAUUGACGGGGUGUAAAGGGCGUGUAGGCGGGAGAGCAAGUCAGACGUGAAAUUCCAGGGCUCAACCCUGGAACUGGGUUUGAAACUGUUCUUCUUGAGUGAUGGAGAGGCAGGCGGAAUUCCGUGUGUAGCGGUGAAAUGCGUAGAUAUACGGAGGAACACCAGUGGCGAAGGCGGCAUGCUGGACAUUAACUGACGCUGAGGCGCGAAAGCGUGGGGAGCAAACAGGAUUAGAUACCCCGGUAGUC
rnacentral:rRNA from 1 species